UCACUGGUAGCUCAGCUGGUAAAGAAUCUGCCUGCAAUGCAGGAGACCCUGGUUCGAUUCCUGGGUUGGGAA
rnacentral:tRNA from 1 species